rnacentral:rRNA from 1 species
AACGCGAAGAACCUUACCUGGGCUUGAACUACUGGUAGUAAGCCGUUGGAAACAUCGGCUGAUCCGCAAGGAAGCCAGCAGAGGUGCUGCAUGGUUGUCGUCAGCUCGUGUCGUGAGAUGUUGGGUUAAGUCCCGCAACGAGCGCAACCCCUAUCUCAUGUUGCUAUUCCCGCAAGGGAAGCACUCUUGAGAAACUGCCUUCGAUAAGAAGGAGGAAGGUGGGGACGACGUCAAAUCCUCAUGGCCCUUAUGUCCAGGGCAACACACGUGCUACAAUGGCCGGUACAACGGGAAGCAAUACCGUAAGGUGGAGCCAAACCCUGAAAGCCGGCCUCAGUUCAGAUUGUGGGCUGAAACUCGCCCACAUGAAGGCGGAAUCGCUAGUAAUCGCGAAUCAGCAGGUCGCGGUGAAUACGUUCCCGGGCCUUGUACACACCGAGUAUA